rnacentral:rRNA from 1 species
UACGUAGGGUGCGAGCGUUGUCCGGAAUUAUUGGGCGUAAAGGGCUCGUAGGCGGUUUGUCGCGUCGGGAGUGAAAACACUGGGCUUAACUCAGUGCUUGCUUCCGAUACGGGCAGACUAGAGGUAUUCAGGGGAGAACGGAAUUCCUGGUGUAGCGGUGAAAUGACGCAGAUAUCAGGAGGAACACCGGUGGCGAAGGCGGUUCUCUGGGAAUGUCCUGACGCUGAGGAGCGAAAGUGUGGGGAGCGAACAGG